rnacentral:rRNA from 1 species
AUUGAACGCUGGCGGCAUGCCUAAUACAUGCAAGUCGAGCGGUAACAGGAAGAACUUUCUUUCCCUGCGUUCGCGGCGCGCGGGUGAGUGACAUGUGGAGAACCCUGCUAUAAGACUGGGGAUAACUCGCGGAAAGGGAACCUAAUACGGCAUAUGUAUUACACCAGAUGGGUGAAUAGUUUCAGGCGGUUUUCUUGUCGAUGAUCGUUGGUUCCACGUCGCAUUAGGUGGUUGGUAAGGUAACGGCUCACCAAGGCCACGAUGCGUAGCAGACCUGAGAGGAUGAUCAGCCACACUGGAACUGAGACACGGUCCAGACUCCUACGGGAGGCAGCAGUAGGGAAUAUUGCGCAAUGGGCGAAAGCCUGACGCAGCAACGCCGCGUGAGUGAUGAAGGUCUUCGGAUUGUAAAACUCUGUUAGUUGGGAAGAACAAAUGUGUAAUUAUCUAUGCCCGUCUUGACGUUACCGAAAGAAAAAGCCCCGGCUAACUACGUG